UACGUAGGGGGCAAGCGUUGUCCGGAUUUAUUGGGCGUAAAGAGCGUGUAGGCGGUUUGGUAGGUCCGUUGUGAAAACUCGAGGCUCAACCUCGAGACGCCGAUGGAAACCAUCAGACUAGAGUCCGGAAGAGGAGAGUGGAAUUCCUGGUGUAGCGGUGAAAUGCGCAGAUAUCAGGAGGAACACCGGUGGCGAAGGCGGCUCACUGGCCCGAUACUGACGCUGAGGUGCGAAAGCGUGGGGAGCAAACAGG
rnacentral:rRNA from 1 species